GACGAACGCUGGCGGCGUGCUUAACACAUGCAAGUCGAACGGAAAGGCCCUGCUUUUGUGGGGUGCUCGAGUGGCGAACGGGUGAGUAACACGUGAGUAACCUGCCCUUGACUUUGGGAUAACUUCAGGAAACUGGGGCUAAUACCGGAUAGGAGCUCCUGCUGCAUGGUGGGGGUUGGAAAGUUUCGGCGGUUGGGGAUGGACUCGCGGCUUAUCAGCUUGUUGGUGGGGUAGUGGCUUACCAAGGCUUUGACGGGUAGCCGGCCUGAGAGGGUGACCGGCCACAUUGGGACUGAGAUGCGGCCCAGACUCCUACGGUAGGCAGCAGUGGGGAAUAUUGCACAAUGGGCGGAAGCCUGAUGCAGCAACGACGCGUGCGGGAUGACGGCCUUCGGGUUGUAAACCGCUUUCGCCUGUGACGAAGCGUGAGUGACGGUAAUGUGUAAAGAAGCACCGGCUAACUACGUG
rnacentral:rRNA from 1 species